UACGGAGGGGGCUAGCGUUGUUCGGAAUUACUGGGCGUAAAGCGUCCGCAGGUGGCUGUGUAAGUCUGCUGUCAAAGAGCGAAGCUCAACUUCGUAAAGGCAGUGGAAACUACACGGCUAGAGUGCGUUCGGGGCAGAGGGAAUUCCUGGUGUAGCGGUGAAAUGCGCAGAUAUCAGGAGGAACACCGAUGGCGAAGGCGGGUCUCUGGGCCGAUACUGACGCUGGAGGAGCGAAAGCGUGGGGAGCGAACAGG
rnacentral:rRNA from 1 species